UACGUAGGGUGCAAGCGUUGUCCGGAAUUAUUGGGCGUAAAGAGCUCGUAGGCGGUCUGUCGCGUCGGCUGUGAAAACUCGGGGCUCAACUCCGAGCUUGCAGUCGAUACGGGCAGGCUAGAGUGCGGCAGGGGAGACUGGAAUUCCUGGUGUAGCGGUGAAAUGCGCAGAUAUCAGGAGGAACACCAGUGGCGAAGGCGACUACCUGGCCUGUUCUUGACGCUGAGGCGCGAAAGCUAGGGGAGCAAACGGG
rnacentral:rRNA from 1 species